rnacentral:rRNA from 1 species
UUACGGUAUGUAGCAAGGUUAAGUACUUAAGGUACGGAGCCGAAGGGAAACCGAGUCUGAAUAGGGCGACUAGUUGCAUGCCGUAGACCCGAAACCGGGUGACCUAUCCAUGGCCAGGUUGAAGCGAGGGUAAAACCUCGUGGAGGACCGAACCACGUUGCUGUUGAAAAAGCAUGGGAUGAGCUGUGGAUAGCGGAGAAAUUCCAAUCGAACCCGGAGAUAGCUGGUUCUCUCCGAAAUAGCUUUAGGGCUAGCGUCGAGUAUGAGUAGUGGAGGUAGAGCACUGAAUGGGCUAGGGGCAUAGCGCUUACCGAACCUUAUCAAACUCCGAAUGCCACAUACUUUGAGCUCGGCAGUCAGACUACGAAUGAUAAGAUCCGUGGUCAAAAGGGAAACAGCCCAGAUCGUCAGCUAAGGUCCCAAAGUGUAAGUUAAGUGGGAAAGGAUGUGAGAUUUCUAAGACAACUAGGAUGUUGGCUUAGAAGCAGCCAUUCAUUAAAAGAGUGCGUAAUAGCUCACUAGUCGAGAGAUCUUGCGCCGAAAAUGUAACGGGGCUAAACUUACCACCGAAGCUACGGGCUUGAACUUAUGUUCAAGCGGUAGGAGAGCGUCGUAACCGGGCUGAAGUCGUACCGUAAGGAGCGGUGGACUGGUUACGAGUGAGAAUGUUGGCAUCAGUAGCGAGAUGUGGGUGAGAAUCCCACAGGCCGAAAACCUAAGGUUUCCUCAGGAAGGUUCGUCCGCUGAGGGUUAGUCGGGACCUAAGCCGAGGCCGAAAGGCGUAGGUGAUGGACAACUGGUUGAUAUUCCAGUACCACUACUAUCGUUAUUAUCGAUGGCGUGACGCAGGAGGAUAGUGUGUGCUAGCUAUUGGAUGCUAGUCUAAGCGUUUAGGCAGUGAGAGUAGGCAAAUCCGCUCUCAUAAUGCUGAGGCGUGAUGGGGAAGGUUCUACGGAACCGAAGUACAUGAUUCCACGCUGCCAAGAAAAGCGUCUAGAGAGAGAAGUAGUGCCCGUACCGCAAACCGACACAGGUAGGUGAGGAGAGAAUCCUAAGGCCGGCGGAAGAAUUACAGUUAAGGAACUCGGCAAAUUGACCCCGUAAGUUCGCGAGAAG